GGGGGGUUCCCGGAUUAUUGGGCGUAAGAGCUCGUAGGCGGUUUGUCGCGUCUGCCGUGAAAGUCCGGGGCUCAACUCCGGGUCUGCGGUGGGUACGGGCAGACUAGAGUGAUGUAGGGGAGACUGGAAUUCCUGGUGUAGCGGUGAAAUGCGCAGAUAUCAGGAGGAACACCGAUGGCGAAGGCAGGUCUCUGGGCAUUAACUGACGCUGAGGAGCGAAAGCAUGGGGAGCGAACAGGAUUAGAUACCCUGGUAGUCCAUGCCGUAAACGUUGGGCACUAGGUGUGGGGGACAUUCCACGUUUUCCGCGCCGUAGCUAACGCAUUAAGUGCCCCGCCUGGGGAGUACGGCCGCAAGGCUAAAACUCAAAGGAAUUGACGGGGGCCCGCACAAGCGGCGGAGCAUGCGGAUUAAUUCGAUGCAACGCGAAGAACCUUACCAAGGCUUGACAUGGACCGGACCGGGCUGGAAACAGUCCUUCCCCUUUGGGGCCGGUUCACAGGUGGUGCAUGGUUGUCGUCAGCUCGUGUCGUGAGAUGUUGGGUUAAGUCCCGCAACGAGCGCAACCCUCGUUCCAUGUUGCCAGCGCGUAAUGGCGGGGACUCAUGGGAGACUGCCGGGGUCAACUCGGAGGAAGGUGGGGACGACGUCAAAUCAUCAUGCCCCUUAUGUCUUGGGCUUCACGCAUGCUACAAUGGCCGGUACAAAGGGUUGCGAUACUGUGAGGUGGAGCUAAUCCCAAAAAGCCGGUCUCAGUUCGGAUUGGGGUCUGCAACUCGACCCCAUGAAGUCGGAGUCGCUAGUAAUCGCAGAUCAGCAACGCUGCGGUGAAUACGUUCCCGGGCCUUGUACACACCGCCCGUCAAGUCACGAAAGUUGGUAACACCCGAAGCCGGUGGCCUAACCCCUUGUGGGAGGGAGCUGUCGAAGUGGGACUGGCGAUUGGGACUAAGUCGUAACAAGGUAACC
rnacentral:rRNA from 1 species